rnacentral:lncRNA from 1 species
GCACAUAAUAAGAUUUUUAAUAACUAUCUGUGUUCAUGCUUGAUGGAGUCAAUACAGUCUAUGAGGUAGAAGGAGAAAUUGUUUCCAAAGUAAAGUAGGAGCAGUUAAUUCAAGAAUCUUAAAGAUCCCAGAGUGGGGAUAACUUGGUAAGCAUUUGUCUUCAUGUUUUUCCAUGGUUUCAUAAUUUUGUGAUAUUGAUAAACAGCUUUUACAUAUUGGGGCAAGGUGAACUGAUAAUACUGGUUGAUUUUGUUCAGAUGUUUUUGGUCAUUCUUUUCUUCUUCAGUCAGCUCAGUUUUCUUGGUGAAUACUUCAGUUGAUUCCAUAUCAACAGUCUUUUUUGGUGUUUCUUUCUGAGAGAUGCCGGCAGUUUUCCUCCUGCUGUCCUGCGUGGUUCCUAACAGGCCAAGGACCGGUACCGGUACCCCCUGU